rnacentral:rRNA from 1 species
UGCUUAACACAUGCAAGUCGAACGAUGAACCUCACUUGUGGGGGGAUUAGUGGCGAACGGGUGAGUAACACGUGAGUAACCUGCCCUUGACUCUGGGAUAAGCCUGGGAAACCGGGUCUAAUACUGGAUAUGACCUUCUGGCGCAUGCCAUGUUGGUGGAAAGCUUUAUUGCGGUUUUGGAUGGACUCGCGGCCUAUCAGCUUGUUGGUGGGGUAAUGGCCUACCAAGGCGACGACGGGUAGCCGGCCUGAGAGGGUGGACGGCCACACUGGGACUGAGACACGGCCCAGACUCCUACGGGAGGCAGCAGUGGGGAAUAUUGCACAAUGGGCGCAAGCCUGAUGCAGCGACGCCGCGUGGGGGAUGAAGGCCUUCGGGUUGUAAACCUCUUUCAGUAGGGAAGAAGCGAAAGUGACGGUACCUGCAGAAGAAGCGCCGGCUAACUACGUGCCAGCAGCCGCGGUAAUACGUAGGGCGCAAGCGUUAUCCGGAAUUAUUGGGCGUAAAGAGCUCGUAGGCGGUUUGUCGCGUCUGCCGUGAAAGUCCGGGGCUUAACUCCGGAUCUGCGGUGGGUACGGGCA